UACAGAGGUCUCAAGCGUUGUUCGGAUUCAUUGGGCGUAAAGGGUGCGUAGGUGGCGCCAUAAGUCAGGUGUGAAAUCUCGAGGCUUAACCUCGAGAUGUCAUCGGAAACUAUUCGGCUAGAGUCCGGAAGAGGAGAGUGGAAUUCCUGGUGUAGCGGUGAAAUGCGCAGAUAUCAGGAAGAACACCCAUGGCGAAAGCAGCUCUCUGGGACGGUACUGACGCUGAGACGCGAAAGCGUGGGGAGCGAACAGG
rnacentral:rRNA from 1 species